rnacentral:lncRNA from 1 species
UACGUCAUUAGAGCUCGCUACAAUCUUGGCACCACUAGAUUGUACUGAUGUUAUUUUUGUCCUGAUAACUAGGGCCAAGGAGAGCUGUGGCACAAUCCUGAUCAUACUGAUACUGGUGGCAGGUCACCAAUCAACCAGAAUGUGAGGGAAAUGUUUGUUACCCACAAGCAAGCAGCAGAAAGAGGAAAAGUGCAGCAACUCCCAUCCCGCUGUACACUAUUUUCACAGGACCAGUUCAAUCAGAUUUUCAAAAGGAAGGAACAGGAGAAAAUAAAACCCACAAAACUGGGAGACUGGAAUAGAAGAGGAUCGACACAAAUGACCUGAAAGUCCCUUAAAACCCUGGCUUCAUAUUCUUAUAUAAAGUAAUAUGAGCACAUCCUGUUUUUCCUGGCUUGUCUUCUAUCAGUAAAUAAAUCACA